UAAAAGCUUGGUCCUGGCUUUAUAAUCAGCUUUAACCAAAUUUACACAUGCAAGUAUCAGCACCCCUGUGAGGAUGCCCUUCAUUUCCUUAUGGAAAUAAGGAGCCGGUAUCAGGCACAUCCCUUAUAGCCCACGACACCUUGCUUCGCCACACCCUCAAGGGAACUCAGCAGUGACAAAUAUUAAGCCAUAAGCGAAAGCUUGACUUAGUUAAGGUUUAGAGAGCCGGUAAAACUCGUGCCAGCCACCGCGGUUAUACGAGAGGCCCAAGUUGAUUGAUCCCGGCGUAAAGAGUGGUUAAGAAAAAAAUUUAUCUAAAGUCGAACGCCCUCAGAGCAGUUAUACGCAUCCGACGGUAAGAAGCCCAUAAACGAAAGUAACUUUAUUUUAUCUGACCCCACGAAAGCUAAGAAACAAACUGGGAUUAGAUACCCCACUAUGCUUAGCCCUAAACCUUGGUAGUACAUCACACCAGCUACCCGCCAGGGUACUACGAGCAUUAGCUUGAAACCCAAAGGACUUGGCGGUGCUUUAGACCCACCUAGAGGAGCCUGUCGUAGAACCGAUAUUCCCCGUUAAACCUUACCUCUUCUUGUUUAACCCGCCUAUAUACCGCCGUCGUAAGCUUACCCUGUGAAGGUUAAAUAGUGAGCUUAACUAGUACAACCCAAAACGUCAGGUCGAGGUGUAGCGCAUGAGGAGGAAUCAGAUGGGCUACAUUCCCUUUUUAAGAGAAUACGAAUUAUCCCGUUGAAACACGGAUAUGAAGGAGGAUUUAGAAGUAAGCCGGAAAUAGAGUGUCCUGCUGAAGCUGGCUCUAGAGCGUGCACACACCGCCCGUCACUCUCCCUAAGUUCAUUUAAACGCAUGUUCAUAACACCUUAAACCCACUAAGGGGAGGCAAGUCGUAACAUGGUAAGCGUACCGGAAGGUGUGCUUGGCUAGAC
rnacentral:ncRNA from 1 species